rnacentral:lncRNA from 1 species
GCAAUUAUUAAAAAAUCACUUUAAAAAACCUGUGUUACUUAAGACAGUAUGGAAUGUGAGAUGGUAGAGUUUGAGUUUCUUAUUCUUGAUAUCAUUGUUGCUUGGAGAAUUUAUUUCAAAAUUAAUUCUAGCUACCAUCCUCAGUGUUUUAUAUGCCUGAUAAAACUGAAAAUAUUAAUUAUGAUUAUAAAGGAUAUCUACUCUGUAUUGAGUUUGUUCAAAAUGAGUUAGACCCUUGUUGAGAGAUUUAUCAUGCUCCUAAGAUCAAGACAUUUAUUCAGAAAGAUUCACUCUUCCGAAGUAUUAUUGCAUUAGAGGCAUGGGCUAUGCAAAAAUAAAGAUAUUUCGAGGAAAUAAAAAGGAGCAAGUGCUCGACAACCUCGCAAAAAAAAUGGACAAGUGUCCGGCAGUAGAAUUAGGGGUACCUCGGUAUCCACUUAAAAAAAAGAGAGAAAAAGAAAAUGAUAGCCCAUGGUCCCUCUAAUAAGAAAUAUGCCAGCAAGAGUUGACAAAGAUUUUAAUUUCCAAAGUCUUUGAUCUAAGAGUAUGACAUUCCCCUCCUCGGAUCCCGUUUUGAUUAGGCAAUAAAUACAAAGUAAGUAUGCUUGAGAAUUUUUGCAAAUUAAAACAACCUCAGUGAGAUAUAGAAAAGAUAAUGAGUGAUCUGAGAGAACCUAUGAGGAUAAAAAGGUAUGCUAACUUUCUUUCAAAAAUAUACAAAAACUCCAAGUGAC